UUACGGCCACAUCAUGCUGAAACACCUGUUCCCGUAUGAUCACCGAAGUUAAACACUAUCGAGCAUGGCCAGUACCUAGUUGGGUAACCACUUCGG